rnacentral:rRNA from 1 species
GAUGAACGCUGGCGGCGUGCCUAAUACAUGCAAGUCGAGCGAACAGACGAGGAGCUUGCUCCUCUGACGUUAGCGGCGGACGGGUGAGUAACACGUGGAUAACCUACCUAUAAGACUGGGAUAACUUCGGGAAACCGGAGCUAAUACCGGAUAAUAUAUUGAACCGCAUGGUUCAAUAGUGAAAGACGGUUUUGCUGUCACUUAUAGCUGGAUCCGCGCCGCAUUAGCUAGUUGGUAAGGUAACGGCUUACCAAGGCAACGAUGCGUAGCCGACCUGAGAGGGGGAUCGCCGACACUGGAACUGAGACACGGACCAGACGCCUACGGGAGGCAGCAGUAGGGAAUCGGCCGCAAUGGGCGAAAGCCUGACGGAGCAACGCCGCGUGAGUGAUGAAGGUCUUCGGAUCGUAAAACUCGGUUAUUAGGGAAGAACAAAUGCGUAAGUAACUAUGCACGUCUUGACGGUACCUAAUCAGAAAGCCACGGCUAACUACGUG